GCGCCCAUAGUUCAAUGGAUAGAACAUUUGGUUGCGGACCAAAAGGUUGGAGGUUCAAUUCCUCCUGGGCGCACAA
rnacentral:tRNA from 1 species